GAAGGUUCUUACGGCGCCGCAUGAAGUCGAACAAGCUUGAAGCUUCGGACGUCAUUAGUCACGUGAUUUUGCCAGAACGAAUCAAGCUUCGAUACAAAGCUUCAAUAAAAAUCGGUUCAUUUUUUUGACACACGCUUCGGAGUCACUGGUAACAUCACUAGUCUCGAUCAUAAUAACAAAGUCCAAUAUCUUUGAUCAUAAUAUGUCCCUUCGCGCAAAGAAAAGCAGAAAUACAUUUCUCAGACGAGCAUUUAUCAUCGAUGAGCGUAACCUUAUAUGUUUUUUAUACAGUAUGUGUGGAAAAACAGUCUUUCAACACAUUUUUAUAGUGUGAUAAGACGUCUAUUCGUAGUACUAUUAUUUAUUUUUGUUAAAUUAUUUACACAUUUGUCUGGAAAAUGGCCUUCUGAUUGGAUGGGCCACAACUCAAAAGUGGACCCGUAGCUUCAUCACUGGUACAAAGACUUGCAACUCGACUUGGACUUGAACAUCAAUGACUUGUGACUUCACUUGGACUUGCGCCUUUUGACUCGAGAAGACUUGCUACUUAACAUGAAAACCUGGGGGAAAAUUUUCACACGGCCGCGCUGCUCUCAGUGUAUCUGCAUCUGUGAAAAAUGUGCACCACCUGCAUGAAGAGAGCACGUGCGGUGCCUACACGACACCAAAUCACUGUAGCCUACCACGUUGGUUUGGAUGUUGGGACCGUACCAGCAGUAGCCUACAGCUCAGCAGUGGUGUAGUCUACGUGAUAUUCAGAAAAGGUUUGACAACUCAAAAUGCCAAGGGAUACCCGAUUCGCCGAGCCAGAUGUCCUUCAGCUCACCAUAGGCUUUUGACUGGAUUACGCCAAAACGAAGCCAGCCAAUGCAUAGCAAGCAAAGUUUGAAGGGCAGUGGUACUAACCAAUCAUGAAAUGAUUACAAGGAUUCAACUUACGUAAGUAAAGUGUACUUCUGCGCAAAUCUACAGAAGCGCAUGGAGCGAAAUGCCCACGCCCCCUCCGUGCGCGUUUGUUUGUUUGGGUAGCAUAGCAGCCGGCUAGGCUCUCCGGAGCCUCUCCAAAGGUUAGAUAUAACAUCUCCAUUGUGAAUCGUCAACUGCAGAUGACUUUUUUGUGUUGAGAGUGUUUUGGAGAAGUUGAUAAAGAGCACGAUUGCGGAGCAAAAAUGCAAGACUGGAUAUAAACAAAACCGCGUCGUCGAGGAGAGAUGGACCGGACUAUGAGCUCAGCUGCGCUCGCUUGGAUAAAGUCUUCAGCUGACACAGGAGGACUGGAAUCUGGAGUGCAUUCAUGAGCGACCACAUUCAAAAUAGCAAGUAUUUUGUUAUAAUGUGCAAAUGUUUUUUUCUGAAAUAGUUUUUUCUAUGUGCUUUGGUGGGCAGAGAAGUUCUGAAUUGAUAUACAUCAUGUAAUAUGUAGUCCUGACUCAUUUUCUUUUUAUAAUCAUGUCAUUUUGUUAUCAUGUCUAUAUUUGGAGUUUCCAAGUGCACUUUUUCUGAAAGGACGCCUGGACUUUUUUGAAAUAAAAGCUCACAGAAACAACAUUUUUUGGAGUAUCAUUCUCAAAUUGGAAUCACAGCAUGGUCAGACAUUCAGUUCACCUAUAUGGUGUCCCCAGGUGUCUUACAUGACCAUUUCAUACCUUUUUUGCUAAGUGAAUGUUAUUUAAAGAAAAACGGAAGUCAUUUAAUGUAUAUUUUACCUUGUUUUACUCUGUUUCUUUACUACUCUGAGUUGUUAUUACUAUUAGGCAACAAUAUGUCAAGUGUCUAGUUUCAAACAAGACCAGAAUUGUGAAUAUAGACCAUAGGGUUUAAGAGCUGCAGAUGUUUUAGUUUGGAGUUGUCGUUUUUCAGAAAAUGCUCAAAAAUAGAAGUGCUGGCUAACAGGUUUUUUACUCAUAAUUUAGAUGUGAAGCAUCUCUAUCGGGAUCUGAUUGGAUCGUUUGAAGUUGGGUCGUGUUGCUAAUUGCUAAUCGCUGCGAUCCUCUUCCGGACCCCGCCCACCUGCCAUACUUUUGACCGGAAGUGAAGAGAGAUCGUUUUGAGGAGGGGAGGAGAUUUACAUUUUUGAUUAAAGAUUAUGAGCACACACGAAUUUUUAAAAAAUAAUGAAGCUCACAGAUAAGUCAUUUGUUAAUAAUCCCACAAUAUUAAAAAUAUAUAUAUAUAGUUUUUCAUUUCAAUUUCAUUGCUACUUUAACCAUACUUUUAAUUUCUGCUUUACUGUAAUUUACCUCAAUAUCUAUGUUAGGCUUUCCAGCUGCUUGCUUAGUGUAUUUAUCUGCUGACUCAUUUCCUACAACUCCUAUAUGAGCUGGUAACGUUACCCAUACAAAAGUUACAUCAAUACCUGACCUUACCAGAUUGUUUGCCACUUUUAGAAUAUCAUAUACAAUAUCCUGCCUUGAGUUUGACUGAAACGUUUUGAUACUGAUUAAAGCUGAGCUGGAAUCUGAAGCAAUUAUUGGCUGUUUCUCAAUAUGCGUUCUUCAGCGAUCUUGCGUCCUCGUGUCCUCGCUCUACGUCAUCAUUAACGGUCGAAGUUCAUUGCAAUUCUCAAGAACGCAAGGACAGAGGACGCAUGAAAAUACCCGGAUGUGUUCUUGAUAUCGAGGAUGCAUCGAGUGCAGACUUGCUGAAAUCGCUUUACGCCCCAGAAGUCAUUGCGGCAAAACUUCCGAGUUCGUUCUUCCAAGGUAGCCUGGCAAGACCGAUCUCCACGAGGACGCAAGUCCGUUCUUUGCGUUCUUGGAAUUGAGAAACAGCCAUUGCCUUCCUAGGCCUAUUGACCUCCACCCAAAUCAAAGCUAGCACCACAAGAACCUACCUGCGAGUGACGGCAAAGUACCGCGAAAGCGAUUCCAGUUAUCACGUGGAGAAAUCUGCUUUGAAUCACUCUCGCGCUACUUUGACAUCACCAAGAGGUCUGCUUAUGCUGGGUACACACCAGAAGAUUUUUUACAUCUUAUAAGAUUUUCAAAAUGUGAAAGACCACAAACAUGAGGAUAAAAAAUCCUGGAUUUAACCGUUUUGCUCCUAUAGUGUGUGAUGUGCCACUAUGUGUCAAAGACAGCACACCACACACAAACAGAUUUUUAACCAGAGUCUCGACUGUGAACACAGGAAAUCCCACAAAAUCUCGCGAGACUUCAGAAUAAGCAUGGCAGACGAUAUGCAGGGAGACAUUUCAAUGAUAGUGCUUGGAAUCAUUUUUACAAGACACGUAUUCGUGCUGUUGCCACAAAUCAACAAGCUGAUCCUCCAUCUUUGCUGUCCACAUCAACUUCACUUUGGCCGCAUAUGCAGGCUGCAUAUGUCAUGAAACCUGGUUUAUUCAAGUUAACUGAGCAUUACAUUUGCAAGUCAUAUGUAUAUUACAACAAUAUAUGAUAAACUAGGAAUAAUAGUCAAUUUUAUAACUGUUAAUACUCUGAAAUAAGACAGUCUUGAUGAUCGGCGCGGCUCCGACGUUCUUCCGAGCAGGUUCGGACACUCUUAACACACCUCACAUGAAGGGACAAUCUGAUAAGAUAAUCUGUGAAACCUUCGCGAUACUCGGGACAUAGCUAGGAUUGUCGGAAGGGGGGAAAUCGGCCCAAAAUCAGCACGAUUAUCUUUUGGUGUGUACCCGGCUUUAGCGCCAAAUGAAGUUAAACCUGCAGUCAGUGUAGCUGCUCACGCGCCACCGUAAACAAACAUGUGGAGGAACGAGUGGAGCAGUGCACAACAUAAAAUCAAGAGUGUAUUCCAGAAAGCAGGGUUAACUUACCAUUAGAUUAACCCCAAACUUUGGGUUGAUCAACCCCAAACUUGCUUACUGUGGGUAUGUCGGUUCCAAAACACAGUUUAAGAGUUAGUUCAAUCAACCCACUGAAAGUAACCCAGAGUUAAUGCGUGCUCACUGUAACAACAUAAAGGCAUUGUCAAUAGAUCACAGAUUUCACGAGUCACCAUGGAAACGUCAGAUAACUUAAAAGUUUUUAAAUGAGAAAUAACAUUAUAAACCAAUACUUUUUGUCAAAAUCAAUGUUUUAUAAUCGGCUUAGAAGUGUGUGAUUACAAAACAGAUAAAAUUAAAUAAUUAAUAUGAACCUAUUUUACCCCAUUUAAGUCCAAUAUUAUAUGUGUCUCAACGAAAAUACACAUAAUAUUAUUUAAAUAUUAUUUAAAAGCCUGUAAAAAUAAUCAUAGAUCAAUGAUCAAUGCCCCCCCCCAAAAAAAAAACAUGGUUACCACAACUUUACACCAAUAAAACCAUGGUUAAUUUUCGUAAAGGUUGUGGCACAUUAUGUGCAUAAUCUGUGAUAAGGCUUAUUUACAGUUUUUUUUAGAUAUGAUUGUAUAGUGUAUGCAUAAAAUGCACUAUGAUUAUAUUCACUAUAUUGUACUUAUUUCACUUCUGCUCCUUUGGGUGACCCUGUUUAGUUUUUGGACUUUCCAUUGUAUGACACUGUAUCACCUUGGAACUUUAGAUUAAUCUCAAAUUAUCUUUAUUGUUAACAUUAAGUAACUGAUGGAAAUGUGUUUCAUACAUCCACUGAUAUUUGGAGAUAUAUUAAUAAUGAACAUAAUUAAAUGUAUAGUAUUUAGUCCGAACACAAAUAUGAAUCAAUUUUUAUUAAUAAUGGACAUAAUUGUAACACUUUAUUAUAAUGUUCAUGAUUUAACAUUAGUUAAUGUAUUAACUAACAUGAACAAACCAUGAGCAAUACAUUUGUUACAGUAUUUAUUCAUCUUUGUUAAUGUUAGUUAAUAGAAAUAAAGCUGUUCAUUGUUUGUUCAUGUUAGUUCACGGUGCAUUAACCAACGUUAACCAAAUUUUAAUAAAGUAUUAGUAAUUGUUGAAAUUAACAUUAAUAAAGAUUAAUAAAUGCUGCACAAGUGCAGUUCAUCAUUAGUUCAUGUUAACUAAUGUAGUUAACUAAUGUUAAUUAAUGAACAUUAUAAUAAAAUGUAUAGUAAUUAGUCCAAUCACAAAUAUCAAUCCAUGUUAUUUAAAGAAAAUAUCAUAAUUUUUUAAGAAAGCAAUAAAUAUUUGCGACUGUAAAUGUAAUAAAAUAAAUGCUUUAACAUUGUAAUAUUAUGCAAAAUAUAUGCUUCCACGCUCGCUGCACGCUCAUCAUAUUUACAUGCAUGCGCAGACAUCCUCCGGAGCCUCGUUUUAUUAACUAAAAUGAACUUACCCUGCAACAUAACCUGGUCCGGAGCAGGUUAUCUUCAGAGAGUCAGUUGCUAUGGUUACUUGCAUAACCCGAAAGUUACCUCCGUUUUUGGAACCGAAAGCAGAGGUUAUCCGCUUGCUUACUCCUAAACUUACCCGGGUAAGUCACAUAACCUGCUUUCUGGAAUACACCCCCGGAGAGUUAACAACGCACAUGUGAGUAAACAACAUUUAAAUCAUCAGUCCAGUUUAUUACUUUAUCUAGAGGUAAGAAUCCAAAUGCAAUAAAAUAAGCCCGUGAUUAUAUGCUGAUGGUUUUUUGCUGCGUGUUUGCUUGUGCUUCACAGUGUUAAACUUCCCUUCUCUGUGUUCAUUUAUAUACCUAAGUUCAAGAUGUAUAUGAUCUUAAACUUCUGUUUGGUUUGGGUGUCUAAUAUUAGGCUACAGGACAAUCUUGUAAUUAUAAAAGUUAAAAGUAAUAAUAAGUAAAAGCUUAUUUUCAUGUUAAGCAGGGAUGGGCAGUAUUUCAAAUACAUGUAUUUAAAAUACGUAUUUGAAAUACAAAAUAGUAUUUUGUAUUUUGUAUUUUAAAGCCUUUGCAAAAAAUGAAAUGUAAUUUGUAUUUAAAUACAUUUAAGAUGAGUAUUUUUGUAUUUUUAAAAUACUCAAAAUACUUUGAGCCAGUCAACCAGUCAGGGUGCUGUUUUCAUGCAUCAACUAGUUAAGCAAAUAAUCUGUGCAGCUUUUAGUGGGCAAUAAUUGAAAUGUUGGAGUGGGAAAUAAAGCAAAGGCGAUUUAAUUAUUUGGUGUGAUGUGAUUUGUGUUAUAACUGUCGCAAAAGGAAAUUCAAAUUUACACUUGCACGUUGGCAGCCAGUUGCACGCUACACUUGCACAUUGCACGACUGAGACAGAGUGUUGAACGCUGACAAAUUGGCCUACACUUUUGACCUGAAGGAAAACCACAAUUUUUUUAUAUUUUACUAUGUUCUUACCUCAACUUGGACAAAUUAAUAUAUAACUAUCUUUUUUCAAUGCAUGGAGAAAGAGCACAUAGUUUGCAGCAUUUCGACCUCAG